rnacentral:rRNA from 1 species
AGAUUGAACAUAAGAGUUUGAUCCUGGCUCAGAUUGAACGCUGGCGGCAUGCUUUACACAUGCAAGUCGGACGGCAGCACAGAGAAGCUUGCUUCUUGGGUGGCGAGUGGCGAACGGGUGAGUAAUAUAUCGGAACGUACCGAGUAAUGGGGGAUAACUAAUCGAAAGAUUAGCUAAUACCGCAUAUUUUCUGAGGAAGAAAGCAGGGGACCAUUUGGCCUUGCGCUGUUUGAGCGGCCGAUAUCUGAUUAGCUAGUUGGUGGGGUAAAGGCCUACCAAGGCGACGAUCAGUAGCGGGUCUGAGAGGAUGAUCCGCCACACUGGGAC